rnacentral:rRNA from 1 species
UGGAGUGGUAUCCAUAUCUGAAUUCAUAGGAUAUGAGAAGGCAGACCCGGGGAACUGAAACAUCUAAGUACCCGGAGGAAGAGAAAGCAAAUGCGAUUCCCUGAGUAGCGGCGAGCGAAACGGGAUUAGCCCAAACCAAGAGGCUUGCCUCUUGGGGUUGUAGGACACUCUGUACGGAGUUACAAAAGAACGAGGUAGAUGAAGAGGUCUGGAAAGGCCCGCCAUAGGAGGUAACAGCCCUGUAGUCAAAACUUCGUUCUCUCCUGAGUGGAUCCUGAGUACGGCGGAACACGUGAAAUUCCGUCGGAAUCCGGGAGGACCAUCUCCCAAGGCUAAAUACUCCCUAGUGACCGAUAGUGAACCAGUACCGUGA